GAACGAGAAAGUGGAGCAAUCCAUGAGUAAAGUGGCGACCGGGUGAGUAACACGUGACUACCUGCCCUUGAGUGGGGGAUAACUUCGGGAAACCGAGGCUAAUACCGCAUAACAUCGUAAGAUCAAAGGAGCAAUCCGCUGAAGGAGGGGGUCGCGGCUGAUUAGCUAGUUGGUGAGGUAACGGCUCACCAAGGCGAAGAUCAGUAGCCGGCCUGAGAGGGCGCACGGCCACACUGGAACUGAAACACGGUCCAGACUCCUACGGGAGGCAGCAGUGGGGAGUUUUGCGCAAUGGGGGAAACCCUGACGCAGCAACGCCGCGUGGAGGAUGAAGUCCCCUUGGGAUGUAAACUCCCUUUCGAUCNGGGACGAUUAUGACGGU
rnacentral:rRNA from 1 species